UUAAAUCCUUUACACCUUUAUUUUUCUUUAAUUUGAACGAGCGCAUCCUGUUCUUCCUGAGGUAGUCUAAAAACAACCUCGUUGAUAUUGUGCAGAUUGCUUUUCAUAGCUUCCUUAAAAAACUCUAGAAGAUAAAACUAAAAAUGUUAGCCCUAAAAACCAAAACUUUAACCCACCUGCAAAUCAGUAUUAUCCUCAUCUUCUGAAUUGUCUACGCCAGAAAAUUCAUCUUUGGACAAUUCGUUAACAUCUAUUGUUAGCCUUUUCUUUUAAAGGUCUCGCGUACCAUUAGCUGAUAGCCCAAACGUCUCUGCACUGAUAGGACCGUCAUCCCAAUCAUCCGCUCCAUCAUCGGAAACUUCUUCAACAAUUGCAUCUUUAGACAACGAAACAAAUUCCUCUGAAAGUAGUCGCAAUAUUUUUUCUCCAACGCUUACAUAUGAAUAUUCCUCGGGAUCUAGUUUUGGUUAAUGAAAACUAUCAAAAGCUUUUAACAUACGAAGUUUAGACUGCGACCGGGUUAUAAUGCGAUUAGAAUGAGAGAUAAGUUCACCUUUAACUUGAACUGAAUCAAGUAGAGGACUGUCAAAAGAAUAAAUUUUAGUCAUAGCAAUACAACUUUCAGGUUAGAAUUUAUAUAAGCA